rnacentral:misc_RNA from 1 species
GGGGCUGCCGACCCGCGCCC